UUCCCUUGAGAGGGCUCCAGAGAGCACACAAGGACAUUUGGCUGUGCCUCCGCGCCAUCUACGAGACCGGCCCAACCCCAACUCCUCAUCAGCACAGACCAGGAGAUUGGGUCUAUGUCAGAAGGCACCAUCGGGAGACCCUUGAGCCACGUUGGAAGGGUCCCUACACUGUGGUGCUGACGACCCCCACCACUCUCAAGGUAGACGGUGUCGUGACCUGGGGCCAUCACACUCACGUCCAGUCAGCAGACCCAUCAGUGAUCCGGGACGACUUCCUCAAGCUACAGCGUGCUCGACCUGCCUGAUGCUGGUAACCUUGCUCUAGAUCACUCCUGCCACUGGGAGCCCCCACAAUACUGUGUAAUAGACUUAGAUAAUGCCUGCAUCUUCAUGGACAUGACUCCAAAGAGACAAGGACAAUUUAUAGGAUCACAUGUUUAUUAGCAGAAGAUUUGGCUGCCUGAAGCGGCCAUGAUGCCAACAUUAUGUUUCAUUGUAUUGAUAUGUUAUAUUGACCUUUGAUUCUCUUGUAGGUUUGAAUGUAUGUUGGUUAUUCUGAAAGGGGACUGUGUGGGGUGAACCCCAAAAGUAAAAGGUGUUUAGCUCCCAAGAGGGCAGGUGCCCAACUGGGCAGGGAAGGGUGCCCAUCAAGUUUUGGUCUCAAUUGAGAGACAGUUAACAGUUGGCAGCCUGUAUACUGUCUUGCAGGUCUGUGUAACCAUGCCCAUGUCAGGGGUAGUAAAGCUGGAAAAAGUCUGUUUAGAAUAGAAGGUCUGAGGCAUGGUUAUGCAUAGAAAGAAGGUUUUAUGCCAACAGUUACUAAUCCAUGAAAAGGAAUUGGCAAGGAAAAUCAAAAAAUCUUAGAGCAGAUCAGUAUGUUUUUCUCCUUAUAUAAUUCCUCUGAAAUAUUGGCAAUGCUAAAUAAAUCAUGGCAAUACAUUUCUUUGCAUAUAUUCAAUAAGACUGGUUCCUAAAAGCGGUAUUAUUAAGGUAAAAUUUUGACUGGAAUAUCAUGUUUUAAAGAGCCCUGUCUGAGCUCUAAAGACUUAAAGCCAGUAAAAAUGCCACGAAGAAAGCCUGGUAUCCUGCUUGGGAGCCCUGAAGAUGGUCAGGCUGAUGCCCUACCAUCACUGGUGGUUGGUAAGAGUAGAAGGGGAGCAGUAAAGAUGCCUCUGCAUCCCUGCAGAACCCCCACACACUCUGGGCCGCAACAAGUAGGAGGGCUACUGAGAUGAGCCUUAAAGCCUAGAGCAUGGGCUCAGGUGGAGUUGCUACAGGUGAUGGAUUCACCUAACUCAGCAGAUACUGCAGGCAGGCCUGAUGGCAGCUGGAUGGCUUGGCUUCCUGGCCCUAUGGGGCAUAUUAAGAUUCAAUCAUGAAAUUCCAGCAAAGGUAGUCAGUUACCAUUCAU